rnacentral:rRNA from 1 species
UGAGGAAUAUUGGACAAUGGAUGGAAAUCUGAUCCAGCCAUGCCGCGUGCAGGAAGACGGCCCUAUGGGUUGUAAACUGCUUUUGUAUGGGAGCAAUAAGGACUACGUGUAGUUUGAUGAGAGUACCAUACGAAUAAGCAUCGGCUAACUCCGUGCCAGCAGCCGCGGUAAUACGGAGGAUGCGAGCGUUAUCCGGAUUUAUUGGGUUUAAAGGGUGCGUAGGCGGCUAUAUAAGUCAGUGGUGAAAUAUUUCGGCUUAACCGAGAGACUGCCAUUGAUACUGUGUUGCUAGAAUAUGGUUGCUGUGAGUGGAAUGUGUGGUGUAGCGGUGAGAUGCUUAGAUAUCACACAGAAUAUCGAUUGCGAAGGCAGCUCACAAAGCCAUUAUUGACGCUGAGGCACGAAAGUGUGGGGAUCAAACA